rnacentral:rRNA from 1 species
CACGUAGGGCGCAAGCGUUGUCCGGAAUUAUUGGGCGUAAAGAGCUCGUAGGCGGUCUGUUACGUCUGCUGUGAAAACCCUGGGCUUAACCCUGGGCUUGCAGUGGAUACGGGCAGACUAGAGGCAGGUAGGGGAGAAUGGAAUUCCCGGUGUAGCGGUGAAAUGCGCAGAUAUCGGGAGGAACACCGGUGGCGAAGGCAGUUCUCUGGGCCUGACCUGACGCUGAGGAGCGAAAGCGUGGGGAGCGAACAGG